ACUAUUAAUUGAAUUUAGUGAUUCUAGCUGUCAUCAUGAAAAUCUACUUUGCGUUGAUCGGUCUGCUGCUUUGCUGCACUUUGACACUCGCUCAAAGGAGGAAUUGUCCUUCCGUCUGCACUUUGGAAUAUAAUCCUGUCUGCGGAGAGGCCAAUGUUCGAGGACAACAAGUUCGCUGCCAGUUCUCCAAUCCAUGUGUUAUGACUAGCAGUGGUUGUCGCAACGGCAUCAACUGGCGAUCAACUAGCUGUGGAAUUACUUCACCCCAAUGCUCGAGCCUUGUUUAAUAAUAAGAGUUCAAAGAACAACCUAUUAAAAAAAAAAACAAAUCUAAAAGAAAUUUUCAUAUUCAUUUGGCUAUUUGUUAUGAGAGGUUUUUAUUAAGCAACUUCCGUUGCUAAUGCACUUCGAUAUAGAUUAUAUAGUUUAUAAACUGUCAUUAUACCAUGAAAUUUGAAUUUUCUCAGAAAUAUAUAAAUAGAAAUGCAUUUUGACUUUUAAAAUUAGUUCAAAUUCGAUAUCUUAACUAUCAACAUGAAAAUCUUCUUUGCAUUGUUCGCUCUCCUAAUUUGUUGCAAUUUAAAAACAGCUAUUGGUAGCAAUUGCUACCAGAAAGCCUGUCUCCCUGACAACCCCCCCGCAUGUCGUUGUAAUCCGAGAAACGAAUAGGAUUAUACUACAUUCCUUGCAAAGAUUAACCAACGGCCUAUUUACUUAAAAUGUGCACCACGAAUUAUAAUUAUAAUUAUAAAACUUAUAUAACAUAGGCUAUUUUAUUUUUCUUACUUCCGAUCGAUAUAAAUUCUGUAAUUGAUAAAUUGCGUUGUACCAAGUAAUAUCAAUAUCACACUGAAAUUCAACAACUGCAAUAAACAAAAAUGUAAAUAAAACAAAACGUAUUCGAUCUUGUAACUAUCAACAUAAAAGUCUGCUUUGCCAUCGAUCGUUUUACAAAUUUGUUAGUUAAUGAAAAUAAAAAGAAUUUUAUGUAUACUUAGAUUA